rnacentral:rRNA from 1 species
GAUGAACGCUGGCGGCGUGGUUAAGACAUGCAAGUCGAACGGGACAGUCGGUGUAGCAAUACACUGGCUGUUCAGUGGCGAACGGGUGCGUAACACGUGAACAAUCUACCUCGAAGUGGGGAAUAGCUCGGCGAAAGCCGAAUUAAUACCGCAUGUGGUCGGGACUCGCAUGAGUCUCGAACUAGAGUCAGGGACCGCAAGGCCUGACGCUUUGAGAGGAGUUCGCGGCCUAUCAGCUAGUUGGCGAGGUAACGGCUCACCAAGGCUAAGACGGGUAGGUGUUCUGAGAGGAAGAGCAGCAACACUGGAGCUGGGAAACGGUCCAGACACCUACGGGUGGGAGCAGUUUAGAAUCAUUCAAAAUGGGCGAAAGCCUGAUGGUGCGACGCCGCGUGAGAGAUGAAGGUAUUCGGAUUGUAAACCUCUGACACUGGGGAAGAAACGCUUUGAGCUAACAGUUCAAGGCCUGACUUAACCCGGAGAGGAAGCAGUGGCUAACUCUGUGCCAGCCGCCGCAGUAACAC